UGCUCGUGAAAGGCAUAGCUUUUAGUCCAUAAGUCAUGCUGGUCACCGUUUCCAUUGUUCCGACAACUUCUGACCAGAUUAACACCUCUGAAUUAGCCAAUCUUACAAGAUUGAUAAGGCAGGCUGGUUGGGAAGGGGUGAUUAGCGGAGAAAAGAAUUACUGAGAGACAGAUGUUUAUUUAUCAACAUUUACCAAUUGCGGUAACCUUAUCUCGCGAGUGAUUCAAAAUUGACCCCGGAUGAUAAAGAGAUCCUGCUCAGAUCAAGGGAUCAAAAGCUGCUUUGAAACCGGAGUUUACAAACCGAUUUAAAGUGUAAGUUCUAAUAAAAGUAAUUGCAUUUUUUGUAUCACAAUAGGUACCCAUUGUGAAGGACCUUCACGUGGAUAUCGGACUGGAAGACCGGUAGAAUGCUAGUUAGAGUAGUGAUUUUUAACAACCAGAAAGCGUGCGUUGGGCAUAUCGAGUUGCCUCGAGUUUUAACAACUAGUUAGUUCUUCCACCCAAAUUGCUUGUAACAUUAACAUAAAUUUGUUUGUGCUUACAAAAGAAUCCAGUGAAUAAUUAUUGGAAUAAGAAUCAUAUAAAUAACAAGCUACACGAAACAGGUUUCAGAAUUCAAUUCCACACACCUGGGAGAAGGGAGAGAAUCAGAAUCGAGUUCGGAUUCUGAUUGGACAGGAAGAUUAUCGUCGGUAGGAGGAGACCCAGUUUUCUCUUCUUCUACAGCAACAGGAGAUGAAGAUGAAGAAGAACAUGGGUUGUGAAUCGGAGUUGGUGAAGAAAUUUGAGCACGGCCAAUUCUAAUAGAGAAAGUUGAGCACUUAUUAGUGUAUACAAGUUGUUUAGGUAUUAUGGGGAACUUUUGGGACGGUGGUGUUGGUACUGAGAGUGAGAUAACGGCGGCGUUGCAGCCGCGGCCGGUGGCAUUGCCUGCCAUUUUCCUGUGUCUCUCUGUCUCUCCACUGGAUGCUUGGAGAGAUAAGUGGGAUAAUACUAGCCAGAACUUCCUUUUCUCUUCGGUCAGGGAUCAUUUCGUCCGUAAACUCCCUAGUACAUGGUACUGAUUUUGCAAGUGUAAUAAAUGUCAUGGGUAGACUUUAAAUUUUUAAACGUUGAGGAC
rnacentral:lncRNA from 1 species